GCAUUUGACACAGCAGACAGAUAUCAUAUACCAUUUUUGUCCAGCAGAAUAUAUAUAUACCUUCCUUGUAAAACAGCAAAAGAGUAUGUAUUGUAAACACGCUGGAAUGGAAGUUACCGCUGAACGACGGGGCUGAAUAUCCCUAUUUCUGUCUUCUCCAUAAUGGCUGCGGUAAUUCCCUUUAUUGGUAGAACCUUUAAGUAUCUUUGUGAGCCAACCCAUCCUAGAAACCGCUUCCCCUAGGCCUAGAAACUACUUUUAUCCAUUCCAUUUGUCAGAGCAACUCGACAUUGAGGAAAGAAAAAAACAAGAAGAGGGGAAGUAGCGAAAGGAACCAAGACAUGCCCUCUCCUAAAAGCAACCAUCUUUACAACCAUAAUAUUAUU
rnacentral:lncRNA from 1 species